UCUGGCUCUCCAGGGUGGGUGUUUCAUCUUUCCAGUGUCACCCCUGUGCCUCUGUGAGUCACCCAGGAUGGUUUUGGUGUGGCAAUGCUGGCUCUGUGACCCAGCUUUGCCCUGAUGCUGCUCCUAUGCUUUUAAAGCUUGCCCUGGCCAGGCACUGCAGCAUUGCUGCCUGAUGAAUCCUCACACAACCUCAUUAAGCAGGAGCUGCAUCCCCUCCAGGUAAGUCUGUG
rnacentral:lncRNA from 12 species